GGAAAACAUGCAUCUGUUUUCAAAUACAGCCAGGCCUUUCAGGGGACAUGGGACCUUUCAAAGUGGGAGAUACAGUACCCACAGCAGUGGCUUCAAAGGGACUCUCAGAACUGUGGCGUCUUUGUCUGUACGAUGGCUGAAAUGGAAGUCCGGGGGAUAAAACCAAGGCAAGAGAUACUGGGUGGACCUCAGCUGGAAUAUCUCCAUCGCUAUCAUUCACUUCUUUGAUUUCUGACGUCUUGCUAGAGGAAAUCUUCAAGAGUGUGGAGGACAGAGCACAUCGGUGUAUGGCGGAGGACAUUAAUGUGUGUGCGUUUCAGAAGCUGGACAGUGGAG